CCUACGGGUGGCUGCAGUGGGGAAUAUUGCACAAUGGGGGAAACCCUGAUGCAGCGACGCCGCGUGAGUGAAGAAGUAUUUCGGUAUGUAAAGCUCUAUCAGCAGGGAAGCAAAUGACGGUACCUGAUUCAGAAGCCCCGGCUAACUACGUGACAGCAGCCGCGGUAAUACGUAGGGGGCAAGCGUUAUCCGGAUUUACUGGGUGUAAAGGGGGCGUAGACGGCAGCGCAGGUCUGAAGUGAAAUGCCGGGGCUUAACCCCGGAACUGCUUUGGAAACUGUGCAGAUAGAGUGCAGGAGAGGUAAGUGGAAUUCCUAGUGUAGCGGUGAAAUGCGUAGAUAUUAGGAGGAACACCAGUGGCGAAGGCGGCUUACUGGACUGUAACUGACGUUGAGGCUCGAAAGUGUGGGUAUCAAACAGGAUUAGAUACCCUAGUAGUC
rnacentral:rRNA from 1 species